UUAGAAGCUUCUUCGUUAACGACUUAACGUCGAUAGCUUUGUUGUCUUUCUUGAAAUCGAAAUCUCAUCCUACUCCUCUUACAUUAUACAGCGGUCAGGUAAAUUGUCAACGACGUCUACGAGACAACUUCACGCAAAAAAGUGGAUGGCAAAAAGCAUUCUUGAAAUUUUCCAUUUAAUUAAUACUAAACACAAAUUAAAAAGCAGUUACUUUAACUUGUAAAAUUUUACUGCUUAACAAUUCAUAACAAAUUCAUAGCAAUACUGUACCGUUAAGCAAACUCCUCAUUAAAAUUGUUUUUGACUAAAA